rnacentral:lncRNA from 1 species
ACAAAUCUCAAAUAGUAUAGAAUUUCAGAGUUUACAUAACCAAAAGAUAUAACAUGAAAUAACAUAAUAUGUUUUAAGAAACAUUUAUUUUAAAUAGAUUCGACGCGCCCAUUCGACUCUCCACGCGCCUCCAAUAUCAAUCACCUGAAACUGUUGAAUAUGGGAUGAGCAUACAGGGUACACUCAGUGUGGGAACAUGCAAUAAUUGUCCAUGUUAAUAAAAUGGUAACACAUAUUGUCAUAACGUAACAUAACUUCCAUACGCACUGUGGCAACUCCAAGGACUUUAAUGUCCCGGACCCUAUAUAUGGAUCCCUGGCGACAAUAUAAUGGUUGCAACCCUGUAACAUGAAAUCGCAUUGUGGCAUACCAAGGACGGUGAAGUCCUGGACCAAUUAUGCUGGCCCCUAGCGAUAAAUAUUUUUACAACACAUACGGUAAACACAUAAUAUUAAAAUGGACAAAUAUCAACCACGUGCAUGUACUGAAAUAAAUCCCACACCUGAAAAUAUGGAUUUGAUAGAUAACUUGAAAAAUUUCAGAUCAACAGUUAUGUCCUAGUCGCGCCGCACCUAGUCAGAUAAAUUCAAAUAAUAAAAAUAAUAAGGGUCUAAAUAGUAACUUAAAAAAAUAAAUUAAAAAUAAGAAAAUUUACAUAAAACCUUUAAAAUCAUUAAUCUUAUUAAUAAAAUAUUUAAAGGCAUGGUUUUAUAGUUCAAAUCUCAAUUUAAAAUCAAACUCAAUUUAAUCAAUAAAAUUAGCCCAAUUAUUAGAAGUCAAAUUUUAGCUCAUUAAUGAAUUUAAACUUAAGCCCAUACUUAAAGCCCAACAUCUCUCUAUCUCCCUCUUAAAUCCCUCUCUGCACUCACUAUUCUACAAACACACGCACACUCUCACACACAUACUCACACACCAGCGCACCCUCCUCUCUCUCCCUCGUCUUCCGCCGCCGCCGCCCGACAGCGGCGCCGCCCGACCGUCUCCCUCUCCUUCCCACGCAUCCUUUUCCCCUCUCCCCUGACCCCUUUCUUCCCAGCCUUCCUCUCUCCCCCAACCUCUCUCUCCGUCGUGGCCAGACAGCCAUCUGACGCCGGCCCCCUGCUCCGGCGAGCAGCCAGCCGCUGCCGCCUCUACUCCCGCCGUCAACAGCGCAGCUGUAGCGCCGCUGGGACAGCAGCACCGCAGCAGCCACCAGACGCCCUCUCUUCCUCUUCUAUUUCUAUUUCCCCUUUUUCAUGUAUUUAGCAGUAUAUAUAAAAUUACAGAAAAAUAGAUGUAUGCAUGAUUGGAUUUUUGAAAACAAAGUUUUUGAAAUGAAAUAACUUUACAAAAGUUAUUAAAAUUACCGAUUGAUGAUGUGCAGUGAGAAAUGGCAGAUUUGAGUUAUUUUGUGAAAAGAGCAAAUGGAGAA